AGAGUUUGAUCCUGGCUCAGGACGAACGCUGGCGGCGUGCCUAAUACAUGCAAGUCGAGCGGACGAAUCGAAAGCUUGCUUUUGAAUCGUUAGCGGCGGACGGGUGAGUAACACGUGGGCAACCUGCCCUGUAGACGGGGAUAACACCGAGAAAUCGGUGCCAAUACCGGAUAACACGAAAUGUCGCAUGACGUCUCGUUGAAAGACGGCGCAGGCUGUCGCUACAGGAUGGGCCCGCGGCGCAUUAGCUAGUUGGUGAGGUAACGGCUCACCAAGGCGACGAUGCGUAGCCGACCUGAGAGGGUGAUCGGCCACACUGGGACUGAGACACGGCCCAGACUCCUACGGGAGGCAGCAGUAGGGAAUCUUCCGCAAUGGACGAAAGUCUGACGGAGCAACGCCGCGUGAGCGAAGAAGGCCUUCGGGUCGUAAAGCUCUGUUGUUAGGGAAGAACAAGUAACGCAGUAACUGGCGUUACCGUGACGGUACCUAACGAGAAAGCCACGGCUAACUACGUGCCAGCAGCCGCGGUAAUACGUAGGUGGCAAGCGUUGUCCGGAAUUAUUGGGCGUAAAGCGCGCGCAGGCGGUUCCUUAAGUCUGAUGUGAAAGCCCACGGCUCAACCGUGGAGGGUCAUUGGAAACUGGGGGACUUGAGUGCAGAAGAGGAGAGCGGAAUUCCACGUGUAGCGGUGAAAUGCGUAGAGAUGUGGAGG
rnacentral:rRNA from 1 species